UUAUUCUAAACCAAAUCACAAGGCGUCUUCACGGGCGAUUGGAUCUGAGCUUGAGGCGGAGAUGGUGGAGGACGGAGGCAGAGGCCGCCGUCUCUGCCGGUCGACGACGGAGAAACGGCCGCAACCGAGGAGGACGACCAUGGAGGGGAGGUGCUGCCUCGAUCCGGAUGAGGGGAGCAGCAGCUGCGACCUCGAUGCGGAUGAGGAGAGCAGCAACCGCGCCCAUGUUCUUCGCGGCGCGGCGGCCGGCGGCCUCGGCUAGGAGCUUUGCCCUCUUAUUCCCGCGCGGUGCAGCAGCGACCUGAGGACGAGUUCGAGGCACAGUGGUGGUUCCGGCACACGACGCCGGGGGAGGCGGUGGUGAUUCCUUGCCUCGUCUGUUCUCCUUAUCUGAGGUCCGUCCGACGGCCGAUGCACACCCGACGUCGUCAUGGAGGCUCCGACCCCGAGGCACCCUCCUUGCUUCCUUCUGGUUGCAUCUCCCCCUGGCCUGAAGAGAGGAAGAGUAGGCCGGCGGCAAUGAUCCAGUGACGAGCGCCUCCGUAGUGCAGAUACUUUGGAUCUAUGUGCUUUGGCCAAAUUGGUCGAGCCUGAGACUGAUUGGAAGACCUUUUCUGAUAUCCUUGAAUUAGCCGUGGAAGGCAGAGGAAGUAGAGAUAAAAAUGUAUCAUGCUUUUCUCUUCUUUUAAGCAUUUCAUCUGUUUGAUUCAUUUUAACAGUAAAACGAUUUCCUUUAUUCAUACAUGAUUUGGAAGUGACUCUCACUCAUGUGAGGUUUAGCAUUAGGGACAUUUCCAUAUGUUUACUUUGAGCUCAUUUUAUCAUCUUUUUUGUUAGCGCCUUCCUGUUCUUCAUUCAUGUUAGACAGCGGUCCAUGUACAGACCAAGAACAAAAAACUGCUUAUGAAUGGUUUGAGUGGAGGUAUAAACAAAUUGUGGUCUUUUGGCUAAUUGGUUGGAUGACUACUUUCACUUUUUACCUUGCACAAAAUAAUCAAUUCCAUGGUUUCCCUUUAUGUUUUUUUCUCGCAAAUGCCAUUGAAAGCUCUCCAUGAUUUCUAAUGCUGGCCAUUUUGUUGGUUCAUUGUGGCACAAUUGGAAGCAGCCGCAUAUAAAUGUGUAGGUGGCAUCAUGAUUUGGGACACUAUAGCGACAUUUUGCUCAUAUCAUAGUGCAUACAACCUUUUUCACAUGUGUUAUCUUAUUGUACCAUGGAUAUGCACUGCUUAUGUAUAUUCAUUUGUUGUGUGCUUUACAGGACAGAUGGGCCUGGAAGAUACACCAGAAACAGAAGAAAAUUUUCUCAAAAUUGCGAAAGAGCGAUAUAGAGGCCGGUGAUCAACUCUAAAGCUCCACUUAUAAGGCAUACAAAACAGAUGCAGCUAGAUUGGCUAAUCUGCCGGAAGAUUUACUACCGGAAGAGUGAAUGGAUGAUUGAGUACUUUGGCACUGAUUCAAAAUUUCAGGAACACAACCGAAGCUAAGAACGGAACAUGGUCUAACACAGAGUCCCAGGAUGUUUAAGAUCCAAAGAACUAGCUCGACGUGACUCUAGAUCACGGACAGUUUAGUCUUGGCACUUAAUUGGGAUGGCUAAAUUACAUUUGAGUUUCAUUUGAUGGAUAUUUACUAUGAGAAUUAUGAAUUUUAUUAAUGUACAUAUUAUACGUAUGGUUUUGAAUAUUGUAAUUGAAUGUCUGUAUUUUUUUUAGGUUGCAAUAGGCUAUUGCCACAACCUACUUUUGGUUGCCACAUGUUAGCAGCACGAAAAUUAAAAUUGUCGCAAUAGUUUCUCGCUACAAACA